AAGAAGACCCGGAAAACGCAAUUUUAAAAAUUUGCAGUUCAAAAUACGCGCCCCUUUAUUUAACUUAAAUAUUUUUUUUAUACAAGGUGUUGACAAAUAACUAGCUCUUUGUUUUCCUUUGGUUUUAAAGGCUUAAAGAUCUUUAUUGUGAAAAUGCACAAGAAUUGUCAAGAAAAGAAAACGACAUAUUUUGGGAUUGAUACCUUGAUUUCUUGCAGCUACAUACUAACAAGAUACAUGGACAAGAAGAAGCAAUCUGACGCGUUGGUGACGCAUUGUGGAUGCGCGUUGUCACCCCAGGGAUGCACGAGGUCAAGACAGGCAGGAGUUGCAGUGCUCGGAUGGCGUCUACAAGGAGACACGUGGCACCUUGUGAUCGGACAUCCUUGUUGUAUUACGAAGCGCCGCCCCACAAGACGUCACAGCCAGAUUGGAUUCCCGGUGAAUGCUACGCCCCAAGGUAAUGUUUUCCUUGCCAUCUCCAUUGCAUUUGGCCGGCGUUAUCAGCGGCACGCAGGCCGUGUGAUGCUAUCAUGGCGUGAGCGUGAACUGCUGCGUUAAGCUUUAAUGAGGAAUAGAUUGGGAUGU